rnacentral:pre_miRNA from 1 species
UAAGAACCCGUCUCUUUACUUUUAACUAAAAAAGCUAAAAACCGGCUCUUAAAUAAGAUAUUUAAGAGCCGGUUCUUAGCUUUUUUAGUUAAAAUUUAAGAGAUGAAUAUUUA